AGUCAAUAGAUACCCGGGUAGUCCAUGCCGUAAACGAUGAUUGCUAGGUGUGGGGGGUCUGACCCCUUCCGUGCCGGAGUUAAACACAAAUAAGCAAUCCACCUGGGGAGUACGGCCGCAAGGUUGAAACUCAAAGGAAUUGACGGGGGCCCGCACAAGCAGUGGAGUAUGUGGUUUAAUUCGAAGCAACGCGAAGAACCUUACCAGGUCUUGACAUCCACCGAAUCCUGUAGAGAUACGGGAGUGCCCUUCGGGGAACGGUGAGACAGGUGGUGCAUGGUUGUCGUCAGCUCGUGUCGUGAGAUGUUGGGUUAAGUCCCGCAACGAGCGCAACCCUUGUGAAUAGUUGCUACGAAACGAGCACUCUAUUCAGACCGCCGUUGACAAAACGGAGGAAGGUGGGGAUGACGUCAAAUCAUCAUGCCCCUUAUGACCUGGGCUACACACGUACUACAAUGGUCGUCAACAGAGGGAAGCAAGACCGCGAGGUGGAGCGAACCCCUAAAAACCGAUCUCAGUUCAGAUUGCAGGCUGAAA
rnacentral:rRNA from 1 species